GGUGUAAAGGAAGACACCAAAUGUGCUGGGGACAAUAGGCUGGGCAGGCCCACUUGGUGCUGUCAAGUCAGCUGCUGCAAAGGGUGAAUGAGCCAUAUGUGCACAGUCAUGCUUGGUUUGUGUGCAGAGAAGAGAAAGGAUACUCUCUUCUCCUUGCAGUCCUUCAAAGGAUUUAUUCAAGAGAACCUCGAGCUGAGCUGCAGCCCCUGGUACUAUCAGGUUAGGGCCUAUGUUGAAGCAUAGAAGAGGCUCAUAUCUUGCUUCUGUACCUUGGAGUUUGCUCCCAGACCACGUAAACAUGGAUGUAUGGCAAAAACAUUUAGAUACUAGCUCUCGCUGCCCUCACCAAGCCCUUCUAAGGUGAAAAAGCCCUUACAGUAUCUGGAUAAACCCCUGCACAUCCUGAUCUGACCUCAUCACUGAUCCUGCUUCAGGAAAAGAUGGGAUGAGAGCCCUCCUGAUCCCUUCCAGUUAAAAAUUCUCAUGUGAUCCUAUGAAUACAUCACACUUUUCUCCAUGACAUAAACAGUCUGAAGUACAACAGGGGAUUUAAUUAAUCUUUGUACUGAGUCACUUUGCUUUUAUUGCUCUAUCAUAAUUUCACCUCUACAGUACAGGAUUCCCUUAUACAAAAAAGGCAACCAAGCACACAGCCCAUAAAACAAUAAAAUAUAGCCAAGGUUGUUGUGUGAUGUGAAGUGAGGUUGUUGCAGACUCCACAGGAAUUUAGGCCAAGAGCUCGUGAAAGCACUAUGGCCAGCCUUCCAGGGAUCUGGAAGUGUUAACACCAAGGAAGCUUGAAGGCUUAUUUCCUCCUUUACAGACAUGAUGAUAUUUCUCUGGGUGCUGGCUUCAAAUUCUCUGAAAGGAUGUUCAUUCUGCAACAGGUUCAUGAUUUUCUUGUCCCAGCUCUGAGACUGUCUGCAUCACUGUAGGGAGCAAAGAGCUCCUCUCAGAGGCUGCUCCUCCUUGGGCUGCUGAGGGCCCAGCUACACUGAUAUUCAAUUACCUUACUAUGACUCAGUGGAAAAUAAUAAGCCAAAAGACAUUGAUUCAUUCUCCUCUGGAAUGUGACUUAGGAUUUAAGUGGUGUCUUCUAGCAAAGAGGGAUCCCAAAGAUCAUGGAAUUAUUUUGUUCAGAAGAGACCUUUGAGGUCAUCAAAUCAACUGUUAAUCCUGCACUGCCAGUCACCACUAAAUCACGUCCCUCAGCACCACAUCUAUGUGACUUUUACAUCCCUUAACUUUACAUCCUUAAACUUUCUUGCAAACACCAGAUGAAACAAAUGAAAUCCUA